rnacentral:rRNA from 1 species
CCUACGGGAGGCAGCAGUGAGGAAUAUUGGUCAAUGGGCGGAAGCCUGAACCAGCCAAGUAGCGUGCAGGAUGACGGCCCUACGGGUUGUAAACUGCUUUUAUACGGGAAUAACGCACCUUACAGGUACGGUCUUGCAUGUACCGUAUGAAUAAGGACCGGCUAAUUCCGUGCCAGCAGCCGCGGUAAUACGGAGGGUCCGGGCGUUAUCCGGAUUUAUUGGGUUUAAAGGGAGCGUAGGCCGCAUGUCAAGCGUGCUGUGAAAGGUCCGGGCUCAACCCGGGCCUUGCAGCGCAAACUGGCGUGCUUGAGUCCGCGGAAGGCAGGCGGAAUUCGUGGUGUAGCGGUGAAAUGCUUAGAUAUGACGAAGAACCCCGAUUGCGAAGGCAGCUUGCUGCAGCGGAACUGACGCUGAUGCUCGAAAGCGCGGGUAUCGAACAGGAUUAGAUACCCCUGUAGUC